rnacentral:snoRNA from 1 species
GAGUUAGCAAUAAUUAUGAAAAUAAUUACUCAUCCUGACUUACUCAAUUUGGGCAUAACAAAUCUCUUAUUACACCUAUAAAAUCUGAGCUAC